UGUUAAUCAUGUUAAUAUAUGACUUGCUCAUUUGUGCGCUAGGAAACAUCGUUUAUAAAAAGAAUAUUUUACAUGAGGGUUGGCAGCUUAAGCAAGGUUACUGAUACGGAGCAGGCAUAUGAUAUAUAGACGUUUCUAGCGGUUAAAAGUUGUUGUUGUUCAGCUUCAGUUUAAGUAAUUACAGCCAGCAUGUUAUCAGUUAUGCACUCACCGUCCUUGUUAAGAAGGGGCUACGAUGAAGUACCUCAGCACCCACUGGAAAGGUUACACCCAUUACGUGUAGAUGUUGAAUUAAGGCGAAACACAUUCACAAACUGGCCAUCAAAUAUUGUCGUAUCACCGGAAAAGUUGUGUGAUAAUGGGUUUUAUUAUAUGGGAAUCCAG